rnacentral:rRNA from 1 species
ACGGAAGGCAGCAGUGAGGAAUAUUGGUCAAUGGGCGGAAGCCUGAACCAGCCAAGUCGCGUGAAGGAUGAAGGUAUUAUGUAUUGUAAACUUCUUUAGACGUAGAGAAAUAAGGGGAUCGUGAUCCCUGGUGCUAGUAUACGUAGAAUAAGGAUCGGCUAACUCCGUGCCAGCAGCCGCGGUAAUACGGAGGAUCCGAGCGUUAUCCGGAUUUAUUGGGUUUAAAGGGUGCGCAGGCGGUCUUUUAAGUCAGUGGUUAAAUCGUGGAGCUUAACUCCAUCCCGCCAUUGAUACUGGAGGACUUGAUUGCGGUUGAGGUUGGCGGAAUUCGCCGUGUAGCGGUGAAAUGCAUAGAUAUGGCGAAGAACUCCGAUUGCGUAGGCAGCUGACCAAGCCGUAAAUGACGCUCAUGCACGAAAGUGCGGGGAUCGAACAGGAUUAGAUACCCUGGUA